rnacentral:rRNA from 1 species
UACAGGGGGGGCAAGCGUUGUUCGGAAUUACUGGGCGUAAAGGGUUCGUAGGUGGCCAACUAAGUCAGACGUGAAAUCCCUCAGCUUAACUGGGGAACUGCGUCUGAUACUGGAUGGCUUGAGUGUAGGAGAGGAAUGCGGAAUUCCAGGUGUAGCGGUGAAAUGCGUAGAUAUCAGGAGGAACACCUGCGGUGUAGACGGCUUACUGGACCGACACUGACGCUGAGGCGCGAAAGCUAGGGGAGCAAACGGG